AAGGGCACCACAAGAACGCGUGGAGCAUGUGGCUUAAUUUGACUCAACGCGGGAAAUCUUACCGGGUCCGGACACACUGAGGAUUGACAGGCAAUAGUGAUGAAUUUUUAUACUCUGUAUAUUAUUUAUUUCUCUGAACAAAUAUGCUAGUCCUUUCAUGAUUAUGUGAUAGGUGGUGCAUGGCCGUUCUUAGUUCGUGGAGUGAUCUGUCUGCUUAAUUGCGUUUCACUAUGAAUCUAUAUUAUAUAAUAAAGUAAAUUAUUACUACACGUAAUUGCUGUGUAUUUUUUAUUUUAUUUUUUAGGUUCUGAAAGCAACGAACGUGACCGCAACCUCUUGUUGCUUAUACAUAUUCUAUAUAAUAUAAACUUUAUAAACUAGAGGGACCGCUGUUACUUUCUUAAACCAGAGGAAGGUUGCGGCAAUAACAGGUCUGUGAUGCCCUUAGAUGUUCCGGGCUGCACACGUGCUACAAUGAUUAUUGCAGCGAACAUCUCUUAUUAUUAUACACUGUUUUGUGUUUGGUUGAGCAUUUAACCUCUGUUAUAUGUUUAUUGAAUUACACACACGAAAGCCUAAUUCGGGAGAAAGGGGGUAAUCAAUUAGAAGUAAUGAUUUCUUUAUAUUUUGUACAACUAUAUUUGGCAUUUUAUACCCGGUAUUAUAAUUUUAUUUAUUUUACUCUGUGUGUAUAAGGGGUAAGGACAUUUAUAUUGCUUUAUUGCAAAUUUUUUGUAUCAUAUUUCCAUAUGUACAAUUGUCAAUUCAUGGUGGGGACAGACCAUUGUUAAUUGUUGGUCUCGGUCUUAACUAGGAAUGCCUUGUACGGGUCUUUGGUUCAACAAACCACCCGGAAUACGUCCCUGCCCUUUGUACACACCCCCCGUCGCUCUUACCGAUGAACUUCUCUGUGAGUUUGAGGGACUGAGAUAUAUAUAUUUCUUAUGGAAACUUAAACGAACAGUGUGGUUUAAAGGAAAGAGAAGU
rnacentral:rRNA from 1 species